GGGAGCCUGAGAAACGGCUACCACAUCCAAGGAUGGCAGCAGGCGCGCAAAUUACCCAAUCCCGACACGGGGAGGUAGUGACAAUAAAUAACAAUACGGGGUUCUUUAGGAUCUCGUAAUUGGAAUGAGUACAAUUUAAAUCUCUUAACGAGGAACAAUUGGAGGGCAAGUCUGGUGCCAGCAGCCGCGGUAAUUCCAGCUCCAAUAGCGUAUAUUAAAGUUGUUGCAGUUAAAAAGCUCGUAGUUGAAUUUCGGGGUUAGUAGGUUGGUCAUGCCUCUGGUAUGUACUGGUCUCACUGAUUCCUCCUUCCUUAUGAACCGUAAUGCCAUUAAUUUGGUGUUGCGGGGAAUUUGGACUGUUACUUUGAAAAAAUUAGAGUGUUUAAAGCAAGCUAACGCUUGAAUACAUUAGCAUGGAAUAAUGAAAUAGGACGUUCGAUCUUAUUUUGUUGGUUUCUAGGAUUGACGUAAUGAUUAAUAGGGAUAGUUGGGGGCAUUAGUAUUCAAUUGUCAGAGGUGAAAUUCUUGGAUUUAUUGAAGACUAACUACUGCGAAAGCAUUUGCCAAGGAUGUUUUCAUUAAUCAAGAACGAAAGUUAGGGGAUCGAAGACGAUCAGAUACCGUCGUAGUCUUAACCAUAAACUAUGCCGACUAGGGAUCGGAUGAUGUUAAUUUUUUAAUGACUCAUUCGGCGCCUUACGGG
rnacentral:rRNA from 1 species